CGUUUGACGUUAGCGACAGAAGAAAGCACCGGCUAACUCCGUGCCAGCAGCCGCGGUAAUACGGAGGGUGCGAGCGUUAAUCGGAAUUACUGGGCGUAAAGCGCAUGCAGGUGGUUUGUUAAGUUCAGAUGUGAAAGACCCGGGGCGUCAACCUCGGAAUAGCAUUUGUAAACUAGGCAGACUAGAGUACUGUAGAGGGGGGUAGGAAUUUCAGGUGUAGCGGUGAAAUAGCGUAGAGAUCUGAAGGAAUACCGGUGGCGAAGGCGGCCCCUCGGACAGAUACUGACACUCAGAUGCGAAAGCGUGGGGAGCAAACAGGAUUAGAUACCCUGGUAG
rnacentral:rRNA from 1 species